UAAUACAGAGGGUGCGAGCGUUAAUCGGAAUUACUGGGCGUAAAGCGUGCGUAGGUUGAUAGAUGUGUUGGCUGUUAAAUCCCCGAGCUUAACUUGGGAAAGUCGGCCAAAACUGUCUGUCUAGAGUAUGGUAGAGGAGAGUGGAAUUUCUGGUGUAGCGGUGAAAUGCGUAGAUAUCAGAAGGAACAUCAGUGGCGAAGGCGACUCUCUGGACUGAUACUGACACUGAGGCACGAAAGCGUGGGGAGCAAACAGGAUUAGAUACCCUGGUAGUCCACGCUGUAAACUAUGAGAACUAGCUGUUGGGGACGAUAAGUUUCUAGUGGCGCAGCUAACGCGUUAAGUUCUCCGCCUGGGGAGUACGGCCGCAAGGUUA
rnacentral:rRNA from 1 species